CAGGAUGGAUGGUGUCUGUAAGGGCCAGUUCCGGGCGACCUUCCUGCCAGGCUAGGGUGAGAGCCGUGGCAGACAGCAUUCAGGGCUUUCCCAGGGCGGGUGGCACGGUUCGGCCUUCAGCACCUUCAGAGGACAAGUGAGUUGGGGAGCGUGGGUUGGGAGGAGCUGGCACCACUUCUGCCUGGGAGCGACUGUCCCUGGGCUUUCUUCUGGCUCAGUCUCUUGACACCGAGCCUUCGGGCUUUCCUCCUCCCUCGGUCACUCAUACUGUGUGUCCUUCACUUGCCUCCCUCCUAAGUUGGUGUCCUAGGGGCUUUCUUCUUCUGAGGAAAACCCAGCUUCCCCUGGACAGUCCCGGUGACCUCAUCUGUUCUCUCCCCUCCCGGGGGUUGACGUGAACGCCUGUGCCCUCCCGGAGCACCCCCACUGUGUGUGUCCCUGGCCCGGCUCCUCAAGGCUGCUGGUUGGCAGAAGUGUGGACGUCGCCCGUGUGAGUGCCGUGGUCGCACUCUGGUGUUCCGGGACAUUACAGCUUUGCUCCUUCCCCUUCCUCUGCUUGGGUUUCCCCCUUCCUUCGGAUCCUUAGAUGCACUGUACUCUUUCUCUGUCCGUAUCUCCAUUGCUCCUUGUUUGCCCACUUUUCGCAUUUCCUGUCUGUAGAAAUUGUGUUUGGAUCCAGCGAAGGCGCGAGCAAACGUCAGCUCCUCCCCGAAGCAGUUUUUCCCUGCGUGGCCUUUCACCAGCUUUGCCUUGAUCUGCUGUAGGUGGAGCGGGGCGCCUAGAAGGGAAGCACAUUUUCCCCCUUCAUUUCUUUCUUCCAGAACUGGUAUUGCUAAGGCUCUGGGACAGUGUGACCUUUUGGGGGAGCAGGCCACUCCCUGUAUGGAAGGUGUGGGUUCUGUCAAGUGGAGACCAUAUCUCCUGCCUACCGUGAUUCUGUGAGUGGGAACUGCAGAGGACGUGGGCUCUGCAGGGGGCUCGCGGACCAGUGGGAUUAUGCUAGUCUUGAAGUUUGAAGAACCAAGACUCUGGGCAGCAAGAUGAUGCAUCCUGGGAGAAGAAAGGCCAGAAACAAAGGUCCCAGGUUGGAAGCUGCCAGAGGGAGCUGGUGUGUGGGAGGGGAGAGCGCCGGAUUCCUGUGGGGAGUGAGAGUCCUGUGCUCAGUUUUUCAGUCUCCUGUGUUCUGUCACAGUUCAGCAGAGUUGCGUUGCAGAGCUGAGUCUAUUUCGGUUGGGCUUAGGGAAGCCAAGUGGGGUAUGUCCCCACCCUAGCGACACCAGUGGCUUCUGAGGGCUGUGAGGGGGUGGUGCUGUGGGUGGGGUCCCCCAGUUGGGCAGAGCUGGGGAUCCAUGGAGUCUUCUCAGUCAGGCUUCUCUCAAGACUUGUCCAGAGCACAUCUUUGUUUUCUUGAGAACCUGGUUGCCUUACCGUCAUGCACUAUGACUCGGUGGAGAGCAGGAAUUGUGUCUGUGUCACCCAAGCCAGUGCUCUGUCUCUUAGCGGGUCAGGAAUACCCUGGACCUUCCCACCUUGCCUCCCUCCUGCAGCGCUGUGGUCUGUAAACACACACACUUUCUUUGGAAUGAAGGUAAUUUACCAGUUUGAAAAUGAGGGCUCCAGAGGAAGUGGAAAUCUAUAUGCUUUUCAGGUGAUGGGUGCGGGUGCGUGCGUGAUGGAAAGCACAAAAGAAGCACCUUAAGGGUGAGUUCUGGGGCCGGGUGAGGAGGUGCAAAGCCUGCCCUGAACCCAAGGUACCCUCCCUGGAUCCCUGGUCUGCUCUGUGUCUGGCCUCCAGGCUCAUCCUCCGCCUUGCGCCUGGCUGUGGGCCUGGGAUGGGGGCGAGGUGAGUUUGGGAGGGAACACCCUUGAUCUUUCUUUGUGAACACUUUCUAUUUCUUCCCAGGGACAGCUCCAGGAGGGCUGCCAGGUCCUGGGGUUUUAGGGUCCCUCCUGAAGACACUGCCCUUGACCCCAGAGUCUCCUGAAAGAGAUCAGCAGUGCCGUUGGGGUGAGGGAAGGGUACAUCUUGGUUUUCUGUCUGAACAUUUGGAAUUGAAGAAGUCCUUGUUUGGUUACCUGGAGGCUGAUGGUGGCUGAGAAGGUCAUGAGGGAGUCCUCAGGAGGGCUGAUGGGAGCCACCCGUGCAGCAGUGAUGGCUGACAGAGCACUGAGUCGUCUGCUCAUCCAGCUUCCUCAUGCCCCAUGUACUCAGCCCACCUGUGUGGCUCUGUGCUGGCUAUGGAUUGCUGCUGGGCCCACCUGAGCUUAUGUCUUGACGGGUCUGACAGCCCAUUACGUGGUACAGAGUUGUGCCCUAUGGUCCUCUGGAUGCUCCAGGUCACAUUCUCUGUGUGAGCUGGAGUCCAGCAUCUUGACAGGGACUAGUUUUUGUUUUUUUUUUUUUGUACUGGGAAUGGAACUCAGGAGGGUGUGCUGUCAGGCAGGCACUUGUGCCGCUGAGCUUUGUUCCUGGAUGGGACCGGUUCCCUGGUGAGAUGGCUGGCCUUGCUCCAGAGCCCCGGGGGAACGUGCCAGGCAUCUCCCUGUGGAGCCUGCUGCAGACUUCAUCUGUGUGCUCACCUUCUGUUCCAAUGCGGACUCACGAGUCACUUCAGGUCCCUGUGGGCCAGUGUCAACGUGGACCAGGUCCACAGUCUUUGAAAUGUUUGGGAAUCCCCUUUGGGCACAGGUUUCCGGCCUGUCCUUUCUUUUGGGGGAAUUGUUAGGAUCGACGGACUGUGUGAGAGUUAGAUCAAGUUUGCGGGCCUGAGAAAUUGGUCAAGGAUUCAUGUCCUUUUAUUCAGGACGUUUUCUUGACCUCCUUAUCAUCUACCCUUGUCUUCUUCUUUUCAUUGUAUAAAUGAAGCAAUAGGGCUGGGGAUAUAGCCCAGCAGCAUGGCGCCUGCUUGGCAAGCACAAGGUCAUGAGUUCGAUUCCUGGUACAAAAAAAAUUGUAUAAUGAAGCAGUAUCCUGUUGGACACCUAUUUUAUCUCUGAGAACACAGAGAUCUCCUUUUCACUGGGAGAAUGAAUGCUUCUGUCGUAGCAGGAGGAGGACUAUCUGGGCGGCAUAUCACAGCGUCUACUCCAACCCUCUAGCUUGAAAAGGCAAUGGGGCUAUCCUGAAAAAGACUUGAACAGUUUUACCCUGACCAUGUGGAGCCCCUUUCCUUAACAGGUUGUUGAAUUUUAUUCAAACAUAAGUAAAUCAAUUAUACACAUUUUCUUUCUUUUCUUUUUCCUCCCUUUCUUCUUUUGUUCUCUCCCUCUCUCCAACUCCUACUAAAAUAACAGUAAAGGAGUGAACAGCUGUAAUGCUAGGAGAGAAAGAGAACACACAUAGAGACAGCAGUGGGUGAGUGAGGACAAAUACUUGGAAAACCGGAGCCGAACGGAGUGGCCGCUGAUUUAGCUAAGCAGGGGAGUUAGGACUGAAGUGUCUGCCAGAGGUGGUGCCGGGGAGAUGCAGACUAGUUUGCUCUUCUGGAAAGAGCUCAGGAGCCGGAGAUGAAGGGCCUCAAGAAAGCCGGGGCCGACCUGGAGCCCCGAAAGCAGGGCUUGGCUGGCAGCUCUGCACGAAGGGAUCAGGCCCUCAGUACGUCAUCCACCCCUCACGACCUACUUACCAUCUGUCUUAGCAGCAAAGGAUAUUUACAAACAACGUAACUACCGUCAAAAUAAAAUUACAGAGUAUUGAUCUAAUAACUUAUGUAAAUUUAAUGAGAGGAUGAGAGAGAAAUAAAGGUUGGAUGGUAUAUGAGCAUUAAAUCCUGGUGCAAUGUAAUAGGAAACCAGUGGAUGUCUAAAAUCAAUAAAUCCAGGUAUUUGCAGGCAUAUAGAAUAAGAAACAGGUAGAAAAGACAGCAGCGGUUGUCUUUUGAGGCCAGCCCUGAUGGAUGGGAAGAGGUCCAGCAAGACACUGCUGCCGUCUUUGCCUGUUAGUUCUAGGCAAGUUUUAUUUAGACAGUGUGCUAUGUAUUAUUUUGAUACAAAUACACAUCAGUUAACGAUAAAUAUUCUCACCCCACUGUGCUCCUGGCGUUUACUUAUGCAUGGCUCCAUACCAGCUUUAACUCAUUUGCUAAGUCACCAAGUAAGCCUUUCUUGAGCAGCUUUUUCCUCUCGGGGAGAAAGUGGCUCGGGCGUGGGGGUCUGUGGUAGAGGGGUGAAU